CCGCCAGAGAACUACAAGUGAAAAACUUGAAACUCAAAGGACUUGACGGUGUCCCAUAUCGACCUAGAGGAGCCUGUCCUAUAAUCGAUACCCCCCGUUCCACCCAACCUUAACUAGCAAAUAUCAGCCUAUAUACCGCCGUCGAUCAGCCUACCCUAUGAAGGUCUAAUAGUAGACAAAAUAGCCCAACCGCUAAUACGUCAGGUCAAGGUGUAGCAAAUGUUAAGGAAGAGAUUGGCUACAUUUUUUAAUAUAAAAAACACGAAAAGCACUAUGAAACCGUCCAUGAAGGUGAAUUUAGUAGUAAAAU
rnacentral:rRNA from 1 species